GAGAAUCACCUUGGUAGACUGAAGCAAGUGUUAAUCGCAUUGUGAAUUUAGGGCACAAGCAUCAUGUGUUUUCUAUUCAUUUAGAACAAGCAUUGGAAGUGCAUGCCAAUGAUGAAGUUACCCAGGUUCUUUCUUUUCUUGUACUUAACAUUCAUGUCCUUAUGCUCUAGGCUAGACAUGACCACAAUCAGCAAUAAACAUGACCAUAAACUCAUUGUUUCUCUGCU
rnacentral:lncRNA from 1 species